CUUUUAAAAAGUGAGGACGAUCGGCUGCAAUGGAGCCGAUAUAAAAAUCAAAGCAAAGGUAAGGAAAAAUCCUUACUAGAAGAACAGUCGGUUCAAAAAGAGCCGAGCCAAUCAAGUAAAAGUGAAGAAUCGGUUGAAGAAGCCGAGGUAUAUAUGGCUGGUAAAGAGCCACUUUCUUCAAGGAGAAAUCCUUAAUAGAAGAACAUUCGGUUCAAGAAGAGCCGAAUCAAUCGAGUAAAAGUAAGAAUCGGCUGAUAGAGCCGAGGUAUAUGCAGCUGGGAUGAUAAAGAGUCGUUUUCUUUAAGCCGACCAAGACCAGCGAAACUAAAGCUUGGGUCUCGGCUAUACUAUUGAGCAGUCGAUUUAACACCAAUAGUCAUCCGAAUGUUUGUUCGAAAGACUAUUGAGGGGGCAUUGUUGAUGCCAAAUUUGAAAUGAACAUGCCGACCUAGCCCACGUAUGAGCCGAAGAAAUAAGGACACGUGAUACACCAGGAGUCGGCAAUAAGGCGCCUGAAGGCCAAGAGCGUUUAGGCGGGAACGGUUGAGAAAUAGGGCGUAACUUCUUAUGUGAAGUGGGGUAUAACUUCCAUAUGAAGUGGAACGUAACUUCCAUGAGAAGUGAGGCGUAACUUUCACGAUCAUGGUUACAACCACUCCCCAACCAACCAAUAAUGUGGGUUGAUGUUACUAUAAAUAGUAAUUUCAAAGCCUGCAAUAGAGGUCUUUCUCCCCCUUAAACGAGAAAACCACCAUAUUUUUCUUGCAAUUUUAUCGCUUUUCUUAGAGUAGUCUAAAUGUAAUUUUUUCUUUUUCGCAUUUACUGCUUUUCUAGGAGUAGUUUUUAAGUAGAACCCUGGAGUCUGUCUGCCCCACGGGCAUCACUCCGUUGUAAACUACAUAUUUGUAGAGUCUGUAUGCCCUUCGAGCACACUCUGUUUUAUAUAUAUAUAUAUAUAUAUAUAUAUAUAUAUAUAUAUAUAUAUAUGCAUUCGGCUCUUUCAACCGACCAGUCAUUAUAUAUUUUUUUCAUUCGGCUCUUUUGCCAACAUUGAUUCCUGCACAGUUCACACAUUCGGCUCCUCCAGCCGAAUCGAUUCUAUAGGACUGAUCUUCGAACCCGGCUGAACCGAUCCCUCGUCAGCCGAAUCGCUUGAUCUGUCGAAGGGCGCAAACUUCGAGAGUCACUAUUCGCAGCCGUUUCGCUUUCGGACGCGCUUCCCGAGAAGAAUCUUUGACUAGGUCAAGGGUCAGAAAAUACGGCUACCAACAAUAGCAUUCACCUAAUUGUAUCAAUUGGAAAUAAUUACUUUGCCACGCAAACAAUGAGAAAAUGCAAAAAAUAAAGCAAGUGAUAUAUUUUUCUGUUUAAACAAUACUCUCUGUAUGUGAAGUGAAGGUCCACUGCAGCUUCCAAACGGGUCAGGCAGCAGAACUUUUUAGUAGGGGAAAGUGUAGGACAGAAUACAUUCCCCUGGAAUACGAGUAGGCUGCCUCACACAUUCCGCGUGUGAGUGAAUGAAUAUAUACUCUCCGCAAUAUGGACAGCUCUUUACAGCUACGAUAUUAAUUGAUGGGCACAAGAACAAAAAAUAAUAAUAAAAAAAAAGGCCAUACCGAAGUACAUCCAAGCCCCGUUAUACCGCGAGUCCGCGGCCAACAAGCUCACGACCGAAAGAAACCAAAAAAUAUAUAUUAUACAUAUAUAAAAAAAAUAAAAAAAAAAGAAUCAAAAUAAUAAAAUUUCAUUGUGCCUAUACUUUACGAGGGAGGGUCGGAUCGGAUGGAAUCCCCCAAUCGAGUGCCGAAACCCGGACCCGCCAAACCCUGACCUCCCCAUCCAGGCUGGCGCUGCACACCCGAUACUCCUCCUCCGGCGGCGGCGUUCGGACUGCCGUAAUCGACCUGACGGCACUCGAGUGCCCGAUCAGCACCCCGAGGCAGCCGUGCUCGCUCCCGCCCCUCCGCCAAAUCCUCACCGUCCGAUCCGCGGAGCCGCUGAAGACGACGUUUCCGACGCAGGCGACGCACAGCACCGCCUUCUCGUGGCCCCGCAGCGCCCCCACCGCGGCCAUGCGGCCGCCCUCCUUCUCCCAGACCAAGAUCGACCUGUCGUUGGACCCCGAGUACAGCACCGCCCCCGCCUCGUCGCCGCCGCCGCCGCCGAUGGCCAGCGCGUUCACGGCCGACGCGUGCCGCUCCAACGUCGCCACCAGCGCGUGCCGCCGCUCCCCGCGCGCCCAGACUCGGAUGCUCCCGUCGGCCGACCCCGUGAAGACCUCCCCGUCGGGGGCGACGGCGACGGCGUUGACUGCGUCGUCGUGCGCCGCGAGGGACUCGACGCAGCGGAGGUCGGCGGCGCGCCAGAUCUUGAGGGUCUUGUCCCAGGAGGAGGAGUAGAGCAGGUCGCCGGCGGCCGCGGCGGCGACGGCGGAGACGGCGUCGGCGUGCUCGAUCCAGAGGCGGCGGCGGUGGCGGCGGACGCGGACGUAGCUGCCGGGGAGGGGGAGGCGGCGGACGCGGUCGGGCACGGUGGGGAGGGCGGCGGCCAGGCGGAGGCGGCCGGAGCGGCCGGAGCGGCGCCACACGCGGACUCGGCCGUCCUGGUGGGCGGUGAGGGCGCGGCGGCCGUCGGGGAGGAGCGCGACGGAUUUGAGCGCCCCCGCCGAGGGGGAGGCGGCGACGGUCUGGAUCGGGCGGAGGCCGCGGAGGUCGUAGAUGCAGAUCUCCGACGGAGUGGCGCAGUAGAGGAGGAGGGAGGCGGGGGAGGAGGCCAGAGCGGCGGCGGCACUGACGGCUGAUGCUGAUGCUGAUGCUGAUGCUGAUGAUGAGGGGCCGACGGCCGGUCGGAGAGAAGUGAGGUACGCGAAGGAGGCAGACGAGGGAGAGCAGGAAGAACAAGAAGAAGGAAUCAGGGAUGAUCGGAGGGAAGGAAGGGAGGGGCAGGUGAGGAGCGAGGCGGAGUCGUCGUCGUCGGAUGCGGCCAGAGGAAGGGAGCGGAGGGAGGAAGAAGGAUCGGCGGCGAGUUCAGCGAUCGCGUCGGCGCGCUUAGCAGCAGCGGAGGGAGCAGAGAAGGGGAGGCAGGCGCGGGGAAGCGGCAUCGGGGAGAAGAGGAGGGAAGAGAUUAAUAUUGGGAAGAGUACUACUGGAGGGAGGGAGGUAGAGCGCGAAAUGAGGGGAGGACGGUGUAGUAUAGUUGCGUUUAUGGACAAGUACAGGAGAAUAAAAGGAUUAACUUAUUGACACGUGGCGGAAUGUGAGAGGGUGAGAAGGAGAAUUCAAGCGAUAUGAUUGGUCCGAGGUUGGGCGUCGGUCGGGGAACGAGAAAGGUGAGCGGAGAGCAUCCGUGAGCAUGAGUUUUAGAACAUAUGCCUGCACCCGCACCAUUAUUCAACCCUAGUCCUCAUUCAAUCUAUCUAACGAGCAGAAUUUUCAGAUUUUUGAAAAAAUCGUAAAUAGUUCUCCACCUUUGGUUGUCCCGCUAACAUGGAGACACUAAUUAAAAAUAUAUAUAUUAGAAUAUACGAAAAGCCUAAAAAUCAGAUAACCAAUUUAAAUAUUUUAUUCAUUAUUAAUUAUUAUUAUUUUGUUUUUACUUUCAUUUCAUUAUCUUGAAAGUGAUGAAAAAUAAUUUACACUUUUAGGCCCCGUUUGGAUAUCCCUAAAAACGUUUUAUGCUAUAUCGGUAGGAAAAUAAUCCUAUGAAGCAUUUGGAUGAAAAAAAAAUGGAGUAAUUUUUUGAUUAUACUAUACUCCAAAAAAUAGAGUAAAAUUACAAUCCACUUUAAACAAAGAAAAACAAAUUCCACCAUUUUGAACUCCCUUACCUCAAAGAUGUAUCAAGUUCUAAAUAUUAAGUUUCAAUAUAAAAUUUUAAAUUUCAAUCUAAAAUUUAAUAGAUAAUUUCUGAUUUCAAUAAUUUUUAAAAUUUUAAAUUUAAAUUAAAAUUAAAUACUUUAAAAUUAAAAUUUAAAAAAUUUAAAACAUUUAACGAAUUUACAAAUUUGAAAUUUAAAAUUUCAUUUUAAUUUUUUAAUUUUCCAAUUUCAAAGAUUUAAAUUUAAAUUUUAAAUUUUCAAUUUUUAAAUUCAACUUAAAUUUUAAAAUUAUAAAUAUGUAAAUUUAUAAAUUUUUAUUUUUAAAUUUAAAUCUCAAAAUUUAAAAUAUAGAUUUUAAUUUAAAAUUUACAAAUUUUAAAUUUUAAUUUUACAUUCAAUUUCCAAAUUUUAAUUUAAAUAUUUAAAUUUAAAAUUUAAAAUUUAAAAUUUAGAAAUUAGAAUAUUUAUAAUUUUAAAUUUAAUAUCAAAUUUAUAAACUUUUAAUUCUAAUUAAUUAAAUGAGAACCUCUUAUUUAAAAUUUUAAUUUGAAAUUUAAAAUUUAUAAUUUUUAAUUUAUUAAAAUUCAAUUUUCAAUAUUUCAAAUUCAAUAUCGAAAUGUUAAAUUUCAAUUUUAUACUUGAAAUUCAUAUUUACAAUCUCCUAUUNNNNNNNNNNNNNNNNNNNNNNNNNAUAGAGUAUCUAAGUAUUUAAAUACUUAACAUUAGAAGGUUUAAGUAGUUACAGAGUUUUAGUUAUAGAGUUUAGUCAGUAGUUUAAUAACUAAGUAAAGUAUAGAUAUGUUGCCUUAAGAGAGAUGUAUUUAUAGUUAAAAUAUAUUAAGUAAUAAGAAAGAUAGAGAGAUAAAGUAUAAGAGCAGACUUAAAUGAUAAUUUAUAGUAAAAGUUAAGAAUUUAGUAGUAUUAAGUAUUUCAGCUCAAUUAGAUAAAUAGAAUAGUUUAGAGUUGUUAAAUAGAGAAAAGAAAGUUAUUAGUCAGUAGAGAUAGUGAGUAGUAUUUAUUUUACGUAUUAAAAUUAAAUUAUAAGUAUAAGAAGGGAGUUUUUUUUAGAUAUAGUUAAUUCAGAAAUAGUAAUCUACAUAUUAAAAGAUUUAGUACAUUUAGUAGUUUAUGAUAAUAUAUAGUUAAGAGAGUAAACUUAGACAAGAGAUAUAGAUAAGAUGCAGAUCUCGACGGAGUGGGCAGUAGAGGAGGAGGGAGGCGGGGAGGAGGCCAGAGCGGCGGCGGCGCUGAAGGCUGAUGUGAUGCUGUGUGAUGCUGAUAUAUGAGGGGCGACGGCCGUCGGAGAGAAGUGAGGUACGCGAAGGAGGCAGACGAGGGAGAGCAGGAAGACAAGAAGAAGGAAUCAGGGAUGAUGGAGGGAAGGAAGGAGGGCAGGAUGAGAGCGAGGCGGAGUCGUCGUCGUCGUCGUCGUCGGAGGAUGCGGCCAGAGAAGGGAGCGGAGGGAGGAAGAAGGAUCGGCGGCGAGUUCAGCGAUCGCGUCGCCGCGCUUGCAGCAGCGGAGGGAGCGGAGAAGGGGAGGCAGGCGCGGGGAAGCGGCAUCGGGAGAAGAGAGGGAAGAGAUUAAUAUUGGGAAGUACUACUGGAGGGAGGGAGGUAGAGCGCGAAAUGAGGGGGAGACGGUGUAGAUAGUUGAUUUAUGGCAAGUAACAGGAGAAUAAAAGGAUGAACUUAUUGACACGUGGGCGAAUGUGAGAGGGUGAGAAGGAGAAUUCAAGCGAUAUGAAUUGGUCCGAGUUGGGCGUCGGUGGGAACGGAGAAGGUGAGCGGAGAGCAUCCGUGAGCAUGAGUUUUAAACAUAUGCUGCACCGCACCAUUAUUCAACCCUAGUCCUCAUUCAAUCUAUCUAACGAGCAGAAUUUUCAGAUUUUGAAAAAUCGUAAAUAGUUCUCCACCUUUGGUUGUCCCGCUAACAUGGAGACACUAAUUAAAAAUAUAUAUAUUAGAAUAUACGAAAAGCCUAAAAUCAGAUAAACAUUUAAUAUUUUAUUCAUUAUUAAUUAUUAUUAUUUUGUUUUUACUUUCAUUUCAUUAUCUUGAAAGUGAUGAAAAAUAAUUUACACUUUUAGGCCCCGUUUUGGAUAUCCCUAAAAAAGUUUUAUGCUAUAUCGUAGGAAAAUAAUCCUAUGAAGCAUUUGGAUGAAAAAAAAAUGGAGUAAUUUUUUGAUUAUCUAUACUCCAAAAAAUAGAGUAAAAUUACAAUCCACUUUAAACAAAGAAAAACAAAUUCACCAUUUUGAACUCCCUUACCUCAAAGAUGUAUCAAGUUUAAUAAUUAAGUUUCAAUAUAAAAUUUUAAAUUUCAAUCUAAAAUUUAUUUUAAUUUUAAUUUGAUUUAAAUUUAAAAUUUAAAAUUUAAAAUUUCUAUUUUCUAAUUUUGAAUUUAAAAUUUUAAAUUUAAAAUUAAAUUAUAAAAUUAAAAUUAAAAUUUAAAAUUUAAAAAUUUAAAUUUUAAUUUAAUUUUUAAUUUUCAAUUUUCAAAAUUUAAAUUUAAAUUUUAAAUUUUAAAUUUUUAAAUUUCAAACUUUAAAUUUUUAAAUUAUAAAUAUGUAAAUUUAUAAUUUUUAAUUUUUAUUUAAAAUCUCAAAAUUUAAUAUAUGUUUUAAUUUAAAUUUCAAAUUUAAAUAUUUAAAUUUUAAUUUCAAAUUUUCAAAUUUUAAUUUUUAAAUUUUAAAUUUUAAAUUUUAAAUUUUAAAUUCAAAUUUUAACUUUUAAAUUCUAAAAUUUAAAUUGAAAAUGAGAACUCUUAAUUUUUAAUUUUAAUUUGAAAUUUAAAAUUUAAAAUUUUUAAUUUUUAAAAUUUAAUUUCAAAAUUCAAAUUUCAAAUUUCAAAUUCGAAUGUUAAAUUUCAAAUUUUAUAUUUGUUUUCAUAUUUAAAUUUAAAUUUAAAAUUUUAUUUUAAUUUUAAAUUUCAAUUUAAAACUAAAUUUAUUUAAUUUUUAAAUUUUAAUUUUAAUUUUAAAAUUUAAAAUUUAAUUUAUUUAAAUUUGAAUUUUAAUUUUUUAAAAUUUUAUUUUUAAAUUUUGAAUUUUAAUUUUUUAAAAUUUUAUUUUUAAAUUUGGAAUUUUAUAUUUUUAAUUUUAAAAUUUUAAAAAUUUAAUUGUUAUAAAUCCUGUGGAAUUAUACUAUAUGUAUCCAAACAGCUUGAAAAUAAAACUGUGGAAUUUUUUUGUAGUCACAGAAUUUCGUAUUUUAUUUUGACCAAAACCACAAAAUAAAAAUUCAAUGGAGUUUUUUAACUAUACAUCCAAACAUGGCUUAGUGGGCAUAUGUUUAUAGUUUCUCAAUUGAACUAUUGUUGACUAUCUCUACGAACCGACAUGUAUAACUUCAUAAUGCACUGUGACAAUCGAAACGUACUUCUGGUUUGUUGUUAAGAAGAACGCAGAAAAAAUAAAGUUGAAAAAAAGCACACAAAAUAAAGACUACCAAUAUAGAGUUGCAAGAGGUUGCUAGUGCUAGUGUAAAGAUGCAAAACAAGGCGGAUUCGAGGGCGGAAUGGCCCCACUUCUCACCUUGUUUCUUGUCGGAGAAGAAAGGUUUCGGGUGGAUUAAUUUCUAUCCUAUAUUUGGGCCUCAACUUACAGCUUUAUUCGAGGAGGAUUGGGGCGGUAGUGGAUUUUUGGCGGAUCAAAACGGAUUUGGGACAAAUUAUAUUUUUUUAUAUUUUUUCAAACUUACUAUUCCAUUCGAAGAGGAUCGAGAUGGAAGCUCCACGAACCCGGAUCCAUUUGCAUUCCUAUUGUGUUGGAUUAUGUAAAGCCAAUGUUUCGAGUCGAUAUGCAGAGUUUGAGUCUAAUUGGAUCUAAUCUUGUUCCAAAAGAUUAGAAAUAGUGCAGAAUCACUUUAAAGAGUAUUAUUCUUAAAAGAAUAUUGAUGACUACAUUGAAUCAGACUUGGAUAGAAGGCGAAAAUUAUUUCCUACCAGAAUUAGAAUUUUAGGGAUAUAUAAACUCUUGUAAUUAAUCUUUUAGAUUAUGAGCUUCACAGUAGACACCCUAAUUAAGAGAAAAAAUUAGAGAGCUCCUUAGAAAGAGUUUUUUUGUAAUCUAAUCUCCUCUUAUGUAUUUUUGUGCCGUGGAUUAAUCGAAAAAGCAUUGAGGUGGUCUUUCCCGUAGACAUAGGUCGAUUCAAGGUUGGCCGAACGACGUAAAUCUUGUAUUCUUGUGAUUUCUUAUUUUCCUUAUUGUUUUGUUAUCCGCGUGCUUAUUUUUCUACGAUCGUUCUCAUUUUUUAUGUCUACGAAAGAUCCUAUUUUCGCUGUGCUCGUGUGGUAGGGGACCACUCAACUCUAGGGGGACCACUCAACCCUAAGGGAUUAAUAUCAUUCUAACCUUAUAAUUUUUCAUCUAAGCGUUAAAAAUUUGAUGGCAAAAAAGACUUUUUGCUAUUAAUAGUAUUCCAGACCAACUAUAUAUAUAUAUAUAUAUAUAAACGUAUAGGAAUUCCGACAAUGACAGACGGAAUUCAAAAAGGAAUAAAAUAAUAUUCCCUAUAAAUGGUUAUGAUUAAUUUGUUAAAAAUAUCUCAAAUAAAAAUUAACGGUUAUGAUCAAUCUAUUAAAUAUAAAAUAAUAUUCCUUACGAAUGGUUAUGAUUAAUUUGUUAAAAAUAUAUCAAAUAAAAAAGAACUUUUAUGAUCAAUAUAUUAAAUUUGUAUUAGCAUCCAUCUAUAAAUUCAAUCAUAUUAUAAUCAAUUUGUUAAAAAAUAUCGUAAAUUAAAACAAACGGUUAUGAUCAAUUUGUUAAAAAAUAGCAUUUCUAUUAAUAUAUUUUAUAUUAAAAUUAAAAUUUGAGUUUAAAUUAUGAAUUAAAUUUAAUUUUUUGAUAUCAAAUUUGAAUUAAUAAUUAAUUUUUUUAUUACAGUGGAUCAAAAUUAAAUUUUAAAUUUUAAAUUAAAUGUGAAUUAAAUNNNNNNNNNNNNNNNNNNNNNNNNNNNNNNNNNNNNNNNNNNNNNNNNNNNNNNNNNNNNNNNNNNNNNNNNNNNNNNNNNNNNNNNNNNNNNNNNNNNNNNNNNNNNNNNNNNNNNNNNNNNNNNNNNNNNNNNNNNNNNNNNNNNNNNNNNNNNNNNNNNNNNNNNNNNNNNNNNNNNNNNNNNNNNNNNNNNUAUAGGAAUUCCGACAAUGACAGACGGAAUCCAAAAAGGAAUAAAAUAAUAUUCCUUACGAAUGAUUAUGAUUAAUUUGUUAAAAAUAUGUUAAAUAAAAACGAACGGUUAUGAUCAAUUUAUUAAAUUUCUACUACAUAUAAAAAUCUAUUCCCUAUAAAUGGUUAUGAUCAAUUUGUUAAAAAAAAUCUCAAAUAAGAACAGGUAUAAUCAAUCUAUUAAAAAAUAGCAUUCGCAUCCAUCUAUAAAUUCACUCCUAUGAAUGAUUAUAAUCAAUUUGUUAAAAAAUAUCUCAAAUUAAAACAAACGGUUAUAAUAAAUUUGUUAAAAAAUAGCAUUUCUAUUAAUCUAUUUUACAUUAAAAUUAAAAAUUGAGUUUAAAUUAUGAAUUAAAUUUAAUUUUUGAUACCAAAUUUGAAUUAAUAAUUAAUUUUUUUUAUUACAGUGGAUCAAAAUUAAAUUUUAAAUUUUAAAUUAAAUGUAAAUUAAAUUUUUAUGCUUUUAGUUUAAAACACAUAUUUAAAUUUAAUUCAUCAAAAAUCAAAAAGUAUAUAAAAAUGUUCGAUGUAUAUAAAUAAAAGAACAUGGUAGGAUAUUAUAAAUAUUUUCUAAUAAAAUAUAACACAUUAAUUUAUAAAUAUAAUUUUUAUUGUAAAAUUUUGGAUAUAUAUAAUGCACAAAUUUAUAUUGAUUUGAAAUAAAUUAUAAUAAUUAUCACGUGUAAUUGCAUGUACAUUCAACUAGUAUAUAUAUAUAGUAGCUGAACUCAUACUUAGAACUAGGCCAGUAUGCUAUUAAUAGCACCAAGUCAUUGGUGCUACCAAGUUUUUGGCCAUUGGAUUAAGAGAUGUGCGGUUAGGAUGAUGUGGGGCCCCUAGGGUUGAGUGGGUGAUUAGUUUAAUAGUAUGAUCUAACAAGUGAAAAUGAUCAAAAGGGUAGAUCUAACGGCGAAAAACUUGGUAGCGUCAAGUGCUUCGUACUAUUAAUAGAAUAGUAGCCGAACUCGUACAUAAAACUAGGCUAGUAUACUAUUCAUAGCAACAAGUCAUUGGUGCUACCAAGUUUUUGGCCAUUGGAUUAAGAGAUGUGCGGUUAGGAUGAUGUGGACCCCCUAGGGUUGAGUGGGUGGUUGGUUCAAUAGUAUGAUCUAACGGGUGAAAAUGAUCAAAAUGGUAGAUCUAACGGCGAAAAACUUGGUAGCACCAUGUCGCGCCUCGUGCCCCGCCUAUUUGGUCGGGUUCGGACACGCCAACAGACCGCUGAACGGACAGAGUUUUUCCUGUAUGUCCUAGGCGUCGCAAUCAAUACAAUGUACGAGGUUCCAACUAGGAACACAUUCCAAUCAGAGAUUGCAUAAGGAAGUAUCAAAAAUAUAAAACAACUAAGUUAUUACAACAUUCAUCUUAGGUGUAUUUUACAUCACAAUUUUUUUUUACAAUCAACUUCCAAAAUACAAUCUAGUUAACACAAUUAUUACAAGUUUGAUACAUUUGUGUUCUUUGUCCGCAAACCCCUAAGCUAGACCACCUAGGGGUACCGCUAUCUCAGUCUCGGGGGUAGGGCCGCUAUCUACGGAGCUAUGCCCUUGCCUCGCGCCGCCGCGCCGUUCACCUGCGAACCUGUAACACCCCAAAACAACGUGGGGUGAGAACCAACUCCAUGGUUCCCAGUGGGUACGGCCACCCAAAGGAAAAGCUCAACCAAUAGGUUUAAUGAGGCACUGCAACAGGUUAGUCCAAUAACAUAAAACAGAUAUUUAUACAUUUACUCGAUAUUGAGCUACAUGUCAUGCCUCGCGAUAUGCAAUAUGAAACCAUGCAACUAUACAAGUAGAAUAAAUGAUUUUACUUUCUAUCAUUUUCAUUCUUUAUUGCUAGCCAUUCUUUACUACUUGCAACUCUUUUUUUAUUCUUAGCUAUUCUUUAUUCUUUAGCUACAACUUACUCAUCGGCCAUUCUUUUCUAAGGUUACUCUUACCUUAGUCCUCUAUGCCACCCGACUCGGUCUUGAGUCAAUCAACUGCGGAUAAUCUGCGCUCUGUCGGCUCGAGGUGAAGGAACUCUCACAUGCACCUCAGCCUACCACAACCUGCCGCACUAUAUGACUGAGCCACCCGGCUGCGAAAUCGUUGCACAUACGCCACGACAAUGGCUCAAGUCAAGCGGUGGUAUAAUCCACAAGCUGGCAUAACCAUCCGGCGGCGAAAUCGUCGUACAUACUCCACGACAAUGGUUAGCCCCGGACGGCGAAAUCGUCGCACACGCCCAACACCACUUUGGGUGUUCCAAAAGCUCAGGAAUUUCGAAAUCCAUUUCACAUAACUCGAGGGUUGGUCUUAAUCCUAUAGUAUCGACCUAUCUAGGUCCAAUGUCCUUUCUACCCUACGUCCACUUGGCUCUAGGCUUAAUGCUUUUACCACAUAACCUAGGUUUACUUUAACUCUAGGUUUAUCUCACAACCUAUGUUCUUUAAUACUAGAUUCAUAUUCAUUCUUAUCCAUCCUAGGUCCAUGACACUAGGUUCAUAUCCAACCUAUAUUCAAUAACACUAGGUUCUAUACCACACUUGUUCAACCUAUAUUCUUUACACUAGGUUUACAUGCCACACUUGUUCAACCUAUAUUCUUUACACUAGGUUUACAUGCCACACUUGUUCAACCUAUGUUCUUUACACUAGGUUUACAUGCCAUACUUGUUUAACCUAUGUUCUCUAUACUAGAUUUACAUACUACUCGAUCUAUAUAUGUAUACAUAUGUCCUUUACUUAGCAUUCCACAUUAGCAUCCCUAUAACAUGCUUAUUAUACAUGGACUUAGCAUUAAUAUCAUGUAUACUUGAGCAUUCUUAUUUCAUAUCAAUAUGUUUUUACUUAGCAUUCUUAUGACAUGCAACAUGCAUUCAGCUAGCAUAACCUAUGCAUUUAUCUAACAUUUUUAUUCAACUAGCAUAACCUAUGCAUUUAUUUAGCAUAACCUAUGCAUUUACUUAGCAUUCUUAUGACAUGCAACAUGCAUUCAGCUAGCAUAACCUAUGCAUUUAUCUAGCAUAACCUAUGCAUUUACUUAGCAUUCUUAUGACAUGCAAUAUGCAUUCAGCUAGCAUAACCUAUGCAUUUAUCUAGCAUUUUUAUUCCAUAUCAUCGUGCAUUCGUUGGUAGCCCAUUUAGCAUUUAUUUGCCAUAACAAGAAGCUCCAUGUUUUCAUUUACCAACGUCUUCUCGAAUAGAGAAGCUUUUCCUGAAGCUGGGCGAAGUGGGCAAUUUAACUGUGUUGGAGAUAUAAAAUGGUCUUUUUUUUUUUUGGUUAAGAAGAUCUUUAUUGGUUAUUGUAAUUAUCUUAGGUUCCCUUCUGCCCAAUGGUUGGAUCAGAAGUGUACUCGACAGAGGUCAAGAAAACCGAGGUGCUUAUGGAGAAUUUUCGGAGGGCUAUUGGUUUGCGGAUAAAGGAGAACAAGGAAGUGUAUGAAGGCGAAGUAAGCUCUUGUUUGUUCUUAUUUUUUGCUUUCUCUAUGAACUGAUUUGAAGUAUUCAUUUGGUUAAUUAAUGGCUUAGAAUUUUGUUGAAUUGCUUGCUAAAACUUACCUUGAUGUGAUCUUCUUGUGUUUUAGGUAACUGAGCUUUCUCCAGAAGAAACUGAGAGUGUGACUGACGGCUAUUCAAAAAGCAUUAGCCGUGUGAUUAUUGGAUUAAAGACUGUUAAGGGAACUAAGCAGCUGAAGUUGGACCCUACAAUCUAUGAUGCUUUAAUCAAGGAAACGGUAAGCGCACUUUAAUCCAAAUGAAAUGGCUCUUUAUGACACUUGAAUAUAACUGUUUUUUUUUUCACUACUGCUUUUUUUCUUUUCUUUUUUUUCGUUGGCUAAUUGUAAUGUACAUGCUAUUAUACGGAUUCCAGGUGGCGGUUGGUGAUGUUAUUUACAUAGAAGCAAGCAGUGGAUGCUUUUAAAUAUUUACUAUAUUAUAAUUAUUUUUAUAAAUUUUUUAUGGAAAAUUUAUAAAAAUAAUUAUAGUAGCGUAAGAAACAUGAAAUUAUGGAAAAUGAAAAUGAAGUGUUACUUUUAUAGUAGCGUAAACGGGGCGAAAUGACUGGGCGGAUCCUUCCGGUCGCCCCGACCCAUAAAUUCAUUUUUUUAAAAAAAAUUUUGUAAUAAUUUUUUUUAAAAAUAUUUAUUAAUCAAAAUAUUAAAUUUUAAAUAAAAACAAUUUAUUAAUUAUUUUUAAAAAAAUUUAUAUAUGUAUAAAAAAUAAAAUAAAAAUUCUACUUUUUAUAUAUGUAUAAAAAAUAAAAUAAAGCCAAAGAGUAGAUAAGCGUAAUUAUUUGAAUUAUAAGGUUGCAAAAUAAAAAAUGAGCUAAACCAGGGAGAGGGUAAAUUGAAGCUUACACUUUUUUUUUCAUUUGAGUUUAGCCCCCCAACUGUCAGAUAGUUUGAAAUGGAGCCCUUGACUUCUAAGUUUUUUUAUUUGUAAACCUUUACAUUUAGUUCCAUUAAAAUUAUAUAAAAUUUAAUAAACUUAGUUAGUUAUCAAUUGUUAAUGUGUCUAAUUUUAUUUGCUAAAAAAAUAAAUUUAUUAAUUUGGUGAAAUUAUCAAUAAAUUUGCGAAAAUCUUUAAUUUUCUUUUUGACCAAUGUCAUUUCGUUUUGAGAAAUUAAAAGUUGAGGGAGCUAUAAUAGAAAAAAAAAAAAUGAGAAAGAAAAGUUGAGGGCUCUAUUUCAAAAACGCAUGUAGUAAAGGGGGCCUUUCUACAUUUGCUUUUACCUAAAGAAUAAUUAAAUCUAAAAAAGAAUUCACUAAUUAAUUUCCCAUAGCACAAACUACGAUUAAUUAAUACCCUAAUAAAUCGGAAAAAAAAAACUAAAAAAUCGAGAUUAAACAAAAAAAAAAUACUUUAAAAAUGAUGAAGAAUUAUUCAGAAAAAAAAAGGAGAAAAAAAGGGAACGAAAUUAAGAAAUUAAGGAAUAAACCGAAGAAUAUAUUCUCAUAAUUUAGCACAAUAGAUCGCCAAAUUCGAUCAAAAAUUCGCGAUUAAGCAAGAGAUUAGUUAAAUUUUGAUAAAAAAAGAAAAAAAUAGUUAAAUUUAAAGAAAACGGCGUCAAUUAUUAAGGAAUAAUCCGAAGAAAAUUCCCCUUAAUUUAACCCAAUAAUCGCAAAUUUUUGAUCGGAUUCGCAUUUUAAACAAGAAAUUCGGAACAAAUCAAAUCAAAUCAAAUCAAAUCAAAUCAAAUGUAAUAGUUAAUAGCGACCAACUGCUUUAUUUCAUUCGCUAAAUAGUUUUAGUGACAGGGCGGCAACAACAAAGCUAUUUUUGUCGCUAAAUAGCAAUAGAGACAAAAUUUUAUUCUGUAGCGACAAAUAGUGUUGGUCUCAAAAGACCUAAAUUUCUAUAGUGAAUGUUAUUUUUAAUCCGUGAAAACCAACACACUAGCUAAAAGAGCUAAACAUAUUUUAGAGGUAAAAUGCAUGGAUAAUCCAUUUCCUUAAAUGUUAUCAAUGAAGGACAUAAAUACCCAUAAUUUUGUUUAAAAAAAAAUAGAUUCUUUUUUUUUUAUUAGUCAGUUAAAGUUUCCAAAACUAUACUAAAAAGAAAGGAAAAUUUUACCUCUAUUUUUUAUUGUUAAAUUGGAUUUAAACAAAAGCAAAAAANAUUUUGUUUAAAAAAAAAUAGAUUCUUUUUUUUUUAUAUAAUCUGAAAAAAAAUAAAAAACUAUUUUUUCUUAAAAUCAAAUAAAAAAAAAAAAAAGGUGUUUUUAGAAAUAAUAGAAAUUUAAAAUUUGUAAUGUAGGAGAAAGAAAACACGGGUUAUUUCCUUGCCAUUCUCUUCGCUUCUCUUCCUCACGCUCUAUUAGGUAAUAUAUCAAAGGGUAAAAUUCAAAAGAAAACAUGAAAAAUAUAAUUUUUUUUAUCCCGACUUUUCUCUCUUUUUUUUCACUCCACAAUGAUCAAAUUAUAGUUUGCGGAAAAAUACAAAGUACUAUAAAUAAAUUUUUGCCAAUAUGUACCUCGAUUUCUGUAAACAUCAUUAAUGGAUUUGUUCUUCCCCUUACACCAUUGAACAAUACCUUGGUAUGAAUUGUAGACAUGCUCCUCCUCAUUCUCGAAGCGAUCCUAUAUAAAUUAGGGCGAAAACAAAAAACCUUAAUAACACUAAAAAUAUUAGAUUCUUAAUAAUAAGAAAAAGACUAAAUGUAGGGACACAAAAUAUUCUAUGACUAUUUUUUUAGCUUAUGCUAUAACUCUUAAUAACGCUAAAAAUAGAGACCAACUACUGUUCACAUUACUUUGCAAAUAAAAACUAUCAAAUUUAACGAAUCAUCUAACGUAACUUUUCGAAAUCCAAAAGAUUAAGUUUGAGGACAAUUUCAAAAUCACUUUUAAGGUUGUUUCAAAACAAACAAAAGUCCAAAAAAUGUCAAAAAAAAUGGCCUACAAUCGAGGGACUCUUACUCUCUAUAUAUUUUCACCAAGAAUCUCACACAAUUAAAUAUUCGAGUUCUUUUUAAUCAUUAUAUAUCUUUAUCUUCGCACCAAACUCAGUGAGCUUAUCGAACACGUUGUUCUUCUCUGCUGGAACUUCAAUCUCAUGCUCUUUCGAUACAAAUGAGUUGAAACCGGGAAUCAGUUGAGGAUAACCUACGUAAAGUUUCUUAAUUUUGUUGCAAACUCCGUUGUUGCCGAUCCUGAAAAUACUACCAACUUAUAGUUACCUUCAAAGUAAUACUAAGAGUAAAAUGUAUUUAGAAUUCUAACUUUUUUCAUAUAUUAUUAUGAUACACUCUCCUACGAUUACAAAAUAUAUUUUUCUUUAUUGAAAAUUGAUUUUCUUUAAAGGUCAUGGAGCAAAUUACUACAUCAAAAACCAUGUGUAUGAAAAUUUAUUGAACCAUGAACUAUAUGGUUACUGUUUGAUAUUUGACUUCUGUACCCUUUGAUGCGUAUGCGAAAUAGGCUCCGAAAACUAUCUCGUAUCUCUCUCUAAACUUAACCCCCCUCCUCCCGCGCCGCCACCUGCCCCACGAACCCCGCCGCCAUGGGUAUCGCGUUCCCAUUCACCUGCCCCACCACACGCACACGCACACGCACACAAACGAUCUCAGAANUUCCUGUGCUGGGCGGCCCCGCAAGGAGCAGCGCCCGCCCGGCCAUCUUCUUCUGCCGAAUCAUGUCGACGACGAGCCCCGCCGCCUCCCGCGCCGCCUUCCCAUUCACCUGCCCCACCACACGCACACGCAGACGCACACAAACGAUCUCAGAAACAGGAACAACAACAACAACAACAACAACAACAGGAAAACAACUACACCGAAGCUCCAAAACCCUAAACCCCCCCCCCCUAAAACCCUAGAUGGUUCGAAAGUGAGGUUGGGGGAGGGGGGAGGAGAUGGGGUAGGGAGUAUACGUCGAGGCCGAGGCCUUUGAUGUGGGUGUGGGUGGCGAUGCGCUGCUUCUUGGAGGUGGAUUGGACCUCCUCGAUCCUCAUGGCGUCGCCGCCGCGGUGGGAGGAGGAGGAGGAGGAGCGAGGAGGAGGGAGAAGGGCGCGGCGCGGGUUCGGGUUGAGGCUUCGAAGGGGAACCAAGCCCGCUUUUGGUGGACGCGUUUAGAAUUUUCUAGCGCUGCUGUUGAAUGAAGCACGUGGCGAUUUCCCAUUGGGUCGAAUGCGUAGUAAGCUGUUUCGUGGCAAAUAGGUGAUUUGGGUUGAAUGAUGUCUCUCGGGGACCGUUCGAUCGGAAAUGGAAGGUCGGAUUUGGCAUCAAGUAGUUUCUCCAGAAUAUGUUAAUUUUAUGAUGAAAUAAUGUUUAAAUAAAAAUUUGUAUUGUAUAUUAUAUAUUUAACUAUUCCACACUUUGAUAUUUCUAGAAAAAUUAUGAACACUCAAUGAAAAAAAUUAAAAGGUAGAGAGAAUUAGUGGAUAUUAAACUUGAAGUAAAUUGAGGAAUUUGCAAUUUAGGCACCAGAUCGAAUGUGAAUUUAAGCUUAAUUUCGAGUAUAAUUCUAAUAUAUAUGGUUGUUUUAUAUAUACUCUGACUUUCCAAAGUAUACAAUACUCCUAAUUUUAUAAAUAGAGCACGGGGCGACAAUUAGGGUUCACUGAUAUUUGUAUUUGAUAAUUAUGUCAAUUUGAAUUUGUCUAGGCAUUUAUUAUAAGAGUAUUAAAUGUUCAUGACGUUGUCUCAUUCUCUCUCAGUGUGAAAUUUUAUCAUUUCCGGUUAAACACAUUUCCUUUGCGUUCACUUCAAUUUUUUUACAGUAAUUUCAUGCAUGUAAGAGAUCGUGUUAUUAUGUUGUGUCCAAAGUUGCUAUCUCUUUAUUUCUAUAAAUAUUUCAGGAGUAUUAAAAUUCUUCCACCAAAACUAUGCUUUGUCAAUAUAUAAUGAUAUGUAUUGUUAUUUGUUUCAUUCAUAGAAUAUACAUAUCAUUAUAAUGAUAUGUAUAUUCUUUGCUUAUUCUGCCAGAUAAAUGAUGGUUGGUAUAAUAAAACUAAUAAUAAUAGUUAGAAUUUUAAGAGGCGAGGCAAAAAUUUUAGCUGAAAUGAAAGUGACACUAACAACUUACGCUGUACAAUCGUGAUUUUUAUGGAAGCUCUCGUAGCACAGCUACAAUUUUAUUUUAUUUUAUUUUAUUUUAUUUUAUUUUUUUUUCGAGAAAGAGCACAGCUACAAAUUAACUCUCUCAUGUAACACAAAACCCCUCUAUCCCACAAACUAAACUAGCCCCACUGUGGCCACAAAACGUGCUGUGUUUGGCUAAAAAGGGCCAAAAAAACAAAAAAAUAGAGAGGGAAAAAUGGACCUAAAACACUAAUACUAUUCUUCAAGUUGGAGUAGGAUAUGAUGUAAUUAUUGUGAAAUAACAGUUAUACUCUAAAAAUUUAAGCUGUUAGACGUAUGAAAGAAAAUUAAUAUACUAGAAGUCUGGCGUGAUUCGAACUCAGGACCUCCUGCUCUGAAACCAUGUGAAAUAAUCGUUGUACUCUAAAAAUUUAAACUGUUAUAAAACAGUAUUUAUAUAUUUUUAUAUUUAACAAUUAUAAGGCAAUGUUUUGACUAAAAAGGGCUAAAAAAAAUAAAAAAGGAAAAAAUGGACCUAAGACACUAAUACUACUCUAAAAGUUGGAGUAGGAUGUGAUGUAAUUAUAAGGCAAUGUUUUGUUUUAUUCUGAUGUAAUUUUGUGAUGCAAUCUUUCUUGGAUUGUGCUAUAUAUGUUAGGCUUAUAAAGUUGCGUUAAAUGUCGUGAAAUUGGGAUGUAUGAACCCACUUUACGCUGCAAAAAGAUGAUGAAUCCGUAGCAACGGAUAGUCGGCGUCGACUUUAGGAAACAGCGGCGACUUCUGACACGUGACAUUCAAUGACAAGAAGGAUGUUUCACUGAAAAGGAAGGGAGAAAGAAUAAUAAUAAUAAAAUAAUAUUAAUAACCUUUUUUUCAGAUAUGCUCGUUAAGAUCUAUUAAUAAAUUAAAGGAUCAAAAAACUAAUCCAUGAGAUGCUUUACGAUUUCAUUUAUUCAUUCUCUUAUGUCUAGUAUUAACUAGUGAAGUAUAUCUUAUGAGCAAGUCCAAAGGCGUGAUUGGUUGUAUUGGAUGGAAGCACGGCAAGGUGGUGAUUUUUCUGCGCAAGUUUGCUCGAGUUAAUUGUGACUUAUGCUGGCUCUCGUAGAAAGUCAAAAUUCUAAAAAGUAGGAAUGCAACGAAACUGUUUUUUAAAUUUGUACACGUACUCUAGAUAACAAAAAAACUCAAAUACAGCCCGACUUCCAAUUUGAGUAUAACGUUUUUUCCCAAGCAAGCAUAUACGUUGUUAACUAUACCCAUGAUUAACUCUCGUAAGGUUUGUAAAAUAAGUGAACCAUGUGGUUCAAAGAUCAAGCAAGCAUAACGUUUCUUCCCAAGCAAGCAUAUACGUUGUCAACUACACCCAUGAUUAACUCAAAUACAGCCCGACUUUUAAUUUGAGUAUAACGUUUUUUCCCAAGCAAGCAUAUACGUUGUCCACUAAACCCAUGAUCAACUCUCGUAAUGUUAAUAAAAUAAGCGAACCAUGUGGUUCAAAGAUCAAGCAUCGGCUAAGACCUCACCGCAUUUUGACAGAAAAUGUUUCUAUGAUGGAUUAGUUCUACAGAAUUUAUUGAAAACUACUUUCAGUUUACUCCUUAUAUCAACAUCAACAUUCAAAUUAAUCGAUAUUAACGGAUACUCAGAAAAAUCUAAGAUUAGACAAUUACUGUGAAAGGUCUAUUGUUGGAAGUUGGGUAAACAAAGGGACAGUACUUGGUGCAUCACAGAAACUUUGUUGGCUUUUUUUUUUUUUUUUUUAAUUGGGAAAGAAACAAAAGUUAGGUCUUGGGGACUCUUGUAGGUUCCCAAUUAUUAGAGGGUAAAAAUUCCUAGCUUUCAGCAUGGUUUAUUGACCUUGGAACCCUGAAAAUAUAUUAUUAAUGCUACAUGUAACUCGUCCCACUUUUAGCGGUUAAAUUAUAACAAAUCAAAAUUUAAGCAACCAAGUACGUUAUAACUUUGUAGAAUAGUUUUUCAAACUACAUGUGUAAUUCACCAUAUAAAUACAAAAUCAGAUAUAAAAGCUAAUCACUAAAUAAUUUCCUACCAUAUUGUAAAAACUAACUUAUCUAUUGCACUUUAAUAGUAAAAAUAUUUAUACUUUGAUCAUUUUUCACUAAAAAUAAUUUUGAGAAAAAAAUAUGAUACAUCUUUUACUAUGUGAUAGUACUUUAUUGAUCCUCCUUAUAUACCAGGACUAAGGAUAAAUUUGCAACAUUAGUACAUCAAAAUUUUGAAAUAUUGCAUUGCCAGGCUAUAAAUAAUUAGCAUAGUAAUUAUAUAUAAUCACCAUAGAAAAUGGUAACUUAAAUAUUUCAAAAUAAUCACUUAACGUUCCGUUCUUUUGAGCAACAUAGGGAGAUUAUGAAACUUAAGAAGAAACGAAAAUUUAGAGAUCAAAAUGAAACUCGAAUUAUAUUUUAGAAAUUAAUAAUAAUAUAAUUUUAUCAAAAAUAAAUAUCUCUUCAUUUUAAUCGCAUGGGCGCUUCAACUUGCGUCGCUCUUUCUAAAUAGUGCCAGCUCGGCUAAAAAAAAAAAAAACAUGUGGUGGACGAGGACACCCCGAUGGGGGACCACGUUUUGUGACCACACCAAUCAGUUUUAACCACGUGUACGUGGGCGCAACCCAAUAGGCCAACGCCAAUCGCCGUAACUUGUCAACGCCCUGGACCGGGGUCAGAGGAUCACGUGGCUCUCGCGUUAUCCCCCCCUGCUGUGAAAGGAAGUUACUGCGUGGACCGGGUUCAUACACCACUCUGCCAAAUCCCCCUAUCGGGUUUUUUUUUUUUAAAAAAAAAAAUUCAAAACAAAAUUUUUGUAUAUCAAAGGAUGAAAAAAUUAACAAUAAAUAAAUAAAAAAUUUGAAAAUAAUUUAUUUUUUAAAAAAGUUGCAACAAGGUAACCCGUUUUGCUUCAACCACUUGACUAGAUCCAUUAUAAGCUAUAACAUUCUACAACAAUAUGAGAGUGUUUUUUUCAAUUCAUUAAAAUAUAUAGAACCAGUUUGAAAAAAUAAAAAUUACAAUGAUAUCAAACAAGAUCUAAUUUAUUGGUUAUGUUGUAAAGUAUUGGAAAGAUAUACAUCCAAAAAGCCAUAAAUUUUUAGUAGAUUUUUUUUUUCUUAUUUUUAGUGAAUCUAUGGAUUCUCUUUUGUGCACUGAUAAUUUUUUAAACUAUUUAUUGCGUAAACAAUGAAUUUUUCAUAGCUAUACUUUAUUUAUUGGUAUUUGAGAGUUAGAAACUGCAGAUUAUACCUACUAAAUUAACUUUCAAAAUAAGAAAUAUAUAAUAUUGUGAUUGUCAUCAAAAGUGUAUUUCUUUUUUUAAAAAAUAUAAGAAAUUUGAUAUAAGAAGUUUAUUAGCAUAAACAAAGAAAAAUGAAAAAAAGAGACAGAAAGAAACAAAACAUUCAUUUGUAAAUAAAUAGCACCCGAAAAAAAAAAAAAAAAAAACUUCAAAUACCUUUCAUGUGGUUUCGUACUUUCACUUUAGUAUUCUGUAAUUUAAAAUGUAUCGACUUAGUACUCUAUAAUUUUUUUUUCCUUAUUAUCUCUUUUACUAAUUUUUUUGUUUAAUUAGUGACAAAGUUAAAACUAAAAUGUAUUAAAUUGAAUAUUUGAUAAACCUAGCUAGAGUAUAUGAAGUUUUUUGUAUAUAAUAUAGCAAAAUGUUAACGGUGAACUGCCGAAAAGAGAGAAAUAAAAUCACAAAGUAUUAAAUUGAUACACCUUAAAUCACACGGUACUAAAGUGAAAAAGUACGAAACCAUAGGGUUGGUAUUUGAAAUUUGCCCCAAAAAUAAAUAUUAUGGAUUGCGGUGUACGGACAAAUGCGUACGCACGGUGUAACCAAUAAUUGCACCCUGCGGGGGCGUCCACUCGAUAAUUUAACUCUGCGGGUUUUUUGGCGGGUAAUUGUCCCCUCCCCGGGUUUCGCGCUCCGGCACGUGUAAGAAACAAUGAACGGACAAAAACGGCCCGAACCCCUCCCCCCCAAUCGCCCUCCGACGCGUACACGCAGCACCUCAAGAUUCGUGCUUAUUCCAGUGCUAUUCCCACAUAGCGUUCCUAUUCCGCCUCCCGAAUCUUAAAGCGCGUACCGCGUAUAAAUAUACGUAUGCGGUGGGGUCGACACUGGAAUAGCAGCAGUUUAUUGAUUUAUUCCGGAACUCGUUAUUCCGCCCUAUUUAUUCCAGCGAACGCCGCCAUUAAAUGCUCCUCCUCGUUUAUUCAGGAACCGUUGCGUGCUCUCGAUUCUUAUCCCCUCGAAUAGAGGAAUCAAAUCCAAAACCCUCCCCUUUUCCCCGGAUUUUGUUGCCAUUUCUUUUCAUUUUGCUGCAAUUGUUCUCCGCAUCUUCGUCAUCGUCGUCGGCUUCUGCUUCCUCUCGAUUUCGCACGUCGAGAGGAAGUAGAUCGCGGUUUGGGGCUUAAUUAGGGUUUGGGAGGAGUGGAUGGGGGAUUGGUUCCCGCGGGAGGAGAGUCGUAGGAGUGGGAGGUCGCGGUGGAGGGGGAAGUGGUGUAGGACCAGUGGAGGAGUCGUGUGGAGGACGAUCGCGGCGCCGGAUCGCGAGAGUAGGAGAUACGAGUUCGAUUCUAUGGUUGGUGUUCGCGGAGAAGGUUCGUGGGCUCAAAUCAUCUCUUUUUUGGCUUAGACCGUAGAUUUUAAGCUCCAUUUUGUGUUCUGUUUGGGGGAAAAGAAAAACGUUUGACUUUUUAGGGAUUUUUUGGAGAACCAGUUUAGGAUUUCAUGGAGAAAUGUUUCGAUUUUUGGUGCUUUUUUUUUUUAUUCUUCUUUUAUGCUUUUUGGGGCUAUGUUGGUCUUCUUGUUUUGAAGUUUUCUUUUAUCCUUUUUUUUUGUUUUUUUGUUUUUAACGCGUAUCUUUUGUACAAAUUUUCUUUCUUUUUUGUUUGGAUGAUGCAUUAUUAUGGCCAUUAAUCAAGGUGCUUUGAAUUAGCUUACUAUUUCUGCUCCACUAUUAAUGAUUCAUUACUAAUCCUGUCAUUAAUUGCCCUUUAAGUUUCCUUUCUCGUUUAAAACAACAGCUUAUGAUGCAGUAACCGAACGAUAUCAAUGCUCAUUAAACUCAUUUUGCUAUAAUUACACCUAAUUGUGUGAUUCUUUCCUUUUUUUUGGCGUACUUGCAUACUAAAAUUGGGUUUAUCCUAAUAAUUUUUGAUUCUUAAGUAAUAAAAAUAAAAAAUUUGACUGGUCAGUGGAUGCUGCAUGCAAUUUAGUUGCCAUAAUCCUACUGAAAUAUUCUUUUAAGUUGACAUUCUUUUUCUUUUUCAGGAUAUUAUGCUCAUUUAGAUUUGCAGAGCCACCCUUUGGGUAUGUUAUCAGCUUCUGCACACGGCAGUGGCUCUGAUGUAGAAGAAAAUUCUGUAAGUGCUCUAUAUUAGAUUUGCCAAGGCUCUUACGGCAUACAAUGCAUGUGUAACCUUCUUUAUGAUUUACAGAGUUUAGUUCUUCGACGUAGUGUAAAAGUGUCUCUGUUAAGUCAUUUACCAUAUUUGCAUGCCCGGUUGAUUUAGUCACCGUCUUGUCGAAUGUAAUGAUUCCUGAUUUCAAUGUUUCAAGUCUAUUUGGGUGUAACAGCAGUAUCUCCUUCUGUUCUACUUCACAAUAUAUUAUUACGAACAAAAAGUUACUCUCUUUUUUUUAUAUAUAUUUUUCAUUAUUUCUGUAGCUUGCCUUUGACAUCAAGGAGAGCCGUCACAAAGGGGACGGGGCAAAUCAAGAAAUAGAAGAAUACAUGGGAGAAGAGAUAUUAAAAGAAAUGGAAAUUAGGCAUUCACCUCCUGGUGUAAUUGCGAAAUUGAUGGGUCUUGAUCUGCCACCUCCUCCCCAAGUAGUUCGCAGCCAGAAUAGGGAUGUAGGGGGUUAUCUGCCAAAAUCAUCGUCAUUCCAUGCAAGCUUUAGAAACAAAUAUGCCUCCAUCAAAGAAGAUUCAUGUCAUAUGAAAAUGGAUGAGCGCUCAGAAUUCAAAGAUGUCUUUGAAGUCAUGAAAUCGUCAGAAGUUGCAAAAGACAGGAAUCAACUAUUUUUUAGAAAGAAUUCAGUAGGUUCUAAAGAACGGUGUAACCACAUCAAUGGCGAAGAUUUCGACAAGCAUUUCCCGAAAAUUCUUAAAGAACCCAAUCCCUUGUUUAGGAAGCAUCUACGUGAUCUAAAGUGCUCUUCAGCAAUCUUCAAAUCAGCAAAUGAUGCAGAGCGUGAAAGAGCUCUCAUGGAAUUGACACCUGGCAAAAUUGAUCGUUCGUUUAAACAAACAGGCACUUCUCUUUCACAUACUUUCUCGAGGUCACGAUACUCGGGAAGGACAGCUGCUUCUACUAGCCACAAUCAGAUUGUUCUUUUGAAGCCAAGUCUUGAAAAAGCAGGUAUCCCAUUAAACAGUGUUUCCUUAUCAAGAAAAUUGGAUGAUUUUCACUUCCUUUACAGGAGAGAGAGUGAAAAAAGAAAGCCCGGGUUGUUUCAUAAUAUAGAAACCAGAGGGGCUAUGAUUAAAGGUUCGAGAGAAAUUGCUAGAGAUGUCACAAAGCAAAUGAAACACUCCACAGACAGUGGCACUAAAGAGUUUUACAAUUUGAGAACCAAUGGGAACGCAAAGAACAAAUUAUCUUCUUCUUUAUAUUCCACUGAUGUCCUACAAAGUUCAUCAUCUAGGUAUUCGGAUUACUCAACUAAACCAUCUGCACACAAGGAGGGCAAGGAGCGCCUUUUUGAGCAGUGCAAGAGGCCUCAACAGUUUGAGGCAGGAAAUAUUGGUAAAGGGGCGAGAACUUUGGCUGAAAUGUUUGCCCUAUCCGAUUCAGAAAAAUCAACGAGAACUUCGGGUUCACAUUAUAUAUUUACACCAGAGAAAUUGGAUGGCUAUAUCAUACAUUUACCAAAAUCUAUAUCUCCUACUGUUCUAUCAACAGUUCGUGGUCAAAGUCUACGAUCAAUGCAUGGUUUUGGUGGUAGUGGUAUUAUUGAUAUGCCUAAAUAUGAGGACUCAAAACACAAAUCUUUUCUGGAUGGAAAAUUGUAUCAGCGAGCAAAAGGUUUAAGCAAAAGCUCUAGUCAUGAGAGGAAUAAGUUUCACUCCUAUACUGGUGGGGAUAGGAAGAAUAGCCAUGCAAGGGAUGUUCAUCUAGAUCAGGAGAUCUUGAUGAAUAGAGUCCAUGGACCCAUUAGUGCCAAGUCAAAGCGUAAUCUCCCAGAAUUUUCCACUGAUGAUUCCUUGAUUGCAGAAAGCAAGGAUGCCAAAAAGUUAUUUGCAACUGACAAGGGGCUGGUCAGCAAAAAUGCUGCUUUGGCAGAGAACUCUACAUUCUCUGGAAAUGGCCGGAAGGUUUGUUUCUACAGUCAAUUUGAUCUAUCUAUGCAAUAUUUUGAUGUUAUUGGUUCCUAUUUGUGGCGGUAGAAAACACACCUACUCUCGUGUGCUCUUGUCCCGUUGCCUUUAGAAUAAGUUGUCUUCUCUGUGAAAUUUCCUGUUGGUUUGGUAUUUACCAUUAUCAGGAAGAGUUAUACAUCAUCAAACAAUUAGUUUUUGAAUUUACUGCUAAGGCUUAGCAUCAAUGUGCGUCUUAUGCUUUUUUGUGCUUGUCAACGACAUUUAUGCAAUAGAAGCUUCAUUUGUCAAUUCUGCAUAACUUUCUGCCUGUGAUCUAUAUUGUUAUUCAAUUGCGAUGAAUGUUUUCCUUCUUAAAAGAGAGAGUGCUUAAAUUUGAUAAUAUGAUUCUUAUUUUUCAUUUCCUUAUAGUAUUUUAUCAUUCAAUGAAUAUUACAUCAAACUGUGAACUUAUCCUUUUGUUUUACUGCAUCAAAAUAUAUAGGAAAGGUCAGAUUAAUGCAUGCCCAGGGCUUUCCAAAGACAACCUUAAGUUGAAGUACAGUCUACUAACCAGGGCUUGCUGCCAUUACUCAAAUGAACGAACAUGGUCUACGUGCAACAAAGCUCAAAAGUCCAGCUAUAAUUAUCUUUUUUCCCUUAGUAAAUAGAUACUUAUUGCUAGUUUGGUGCCCAACAUGCUCACUCUGUUUAUAACAACAUCUUUGCAUCUCUCUCUUUUUCUUUUUCCAAUUAUAAGACAUUAAUGAUAUGAUUGUUUUGAAGAGCUAUUACCAUUUUCACUUUGACCUUUUUAUUGUUUUUGUAUUAGGAGUGCUAAUGUAGACUCAUCGGAUGCUAUUAGUUCUUAUGUGAGACUUGAAAUUAGUAAAUAACACAAAUUUUUGUUAAUCUUUCAUGCUUUGAGUUACACAUUCUUUCAAUACAUUUAUCUUCUAAACUAGUAAACUGCCUUAUUCCAGAUAAUACCGUCUAGCCAACAUGAGGAGGUCCGCUUUCCAACUCACUCUGAUGAAACAGAUUCAGUAUCCACCAUGGACUCUAAAAAGCCCGAGCAACCUAGCCCCGUUUCAGUUCUAGAAUCUCCUUUGGAAGUAAAGAAGUCCAAUUCUAAAUCAUUCGCGAGAAUGUGCUUGGAUCUACAGGGUAAGUGAAAAAGGAAAUGAAAAAAGGGGAGACACAGUAUUUGGACCUUGUCACUUAACACCUUUUGGCCCCAAACUUUCUUUUAUAUGGCACUUUAAUCACCGACCUUCAAAACAAAUCAAGCGAAAGUUUAAGGCCGAAGUUGUAAUAUUGGGGUAGUACAGGGACUAUUUCAUACAUGAUGCCCUAUCUUAUAAUCCUGUCUCUUUGGCCUAAUAAAAUAUUUUAUUUCUUUCUUAUCACAGAGCUCCAAUUACAGCUUGAUCUUCUCAAGUUCAAUUCCGAAUCAUCUGCUGAAGAUCCCGAAAUCUUUGUAUCAAGUGAUGAGGAUUCUAACGAAGAAAGCGACUCUCUUCAUCUAAUUGAAAAUAUACUCGAAGCAUUCAGGGAUGAAGAAGACCGUGAUUAUUCAUACCUCCUCGACAUUCUUAUCAGUUCGGGUGUCCAUGGUGCGAACCUAGAUCGGAUUCACAAAGCGUGCCACUCGCCCAGUCGUCCUGCUGGUGCAACCGUGUUUGAAAGUCUCGAAAAGAAGUACAAAAAAAUUGUGAAAUGGUCAAGAUCUGAGAGGAUGCUGCUUUUUGAUCAUGUAAACACUAUUCUAUCAGAAGUUUUGGCCCCUUGCAUGGAUUUGCAUCCAUGGGUUAAGUUGGAUUCGCUGGUCUCCCCCAUGUGGGGGCCCGAGGGGUUGGUUGAGAAGGUAUGGCAGAUUCUGGUCAGAAGAAGGAAAGAACUUGGCGAGGGUGAUCCAGAGAGUAAGGUGCUAGAUACAAAAUGGUUAGAUUUGGGAGAUGGGGUUGACAUGAUAGGAAGUGAGAUCGAGAGGAUGUUAAAGGACGAGCUUUUGGAAGAGCUUGUUUCGGAGUUCUCAUUAGGGUAAGGGCCUUUUCAUCGAGUAACUCCUUUGGGGAGAGAACGUAUAUGUUCGUGUGCAUGGGAUCGAUCAUUACACUUCCAUGUGCAUGGGAUUGAUUAUUUGGUCAAGGAAGUGGAAUUUGUCAGUCUCGGGAGCACAAAGUCGCCGAAUUGGCGAUGCUUCAGCCUCUUUAUCUAGACAACAACAGAGCUAAAUAUGAUGAUGGGAAACGAAGUUGCGUUUGACUAAAGCAGCUCAAAAUAUGGUGUUUUGGCUGAUAGAUGUUUGUCGAUCUUUCCUUAGAGUCACGGUGUUUUUGAUUCGAUUGAAUGUAUUCGUGAUUGUCUAUUACUGUUCUUAGCUGCUAUUGGUGUCAACUAUAUUUCUGCUCGGCUAUCAGAGGUAUAUUCCUUAGAGAUGCAGGUUGUAUCUGUUAGUGCAGACCCAUUCUUAGUUUUGUAAAAGAGGUGAAAUCAUAAUCAGUAUCCAAGUGUGGUGUACUAUAUACAGGUUGCCCAAGUUUGUGAAAGUCCAGUGUAAUACUAGUAUCCCCCAUUAUGGGUGAAAUAGGCAUGUUUUGAGAUUGCAACUUUCCUGUGGAAAGGAUGAGUGAGUAGGAGGAAAUAUUCUGUCACUGUUGUUAAUUUUGAAUAAUUCUUUUCUUUUAGUGCUAGAAACUUACGAAGUACUAGACAAAUUAUAAUUCACCAUGCCGCAUGUAUGCGUCCUGUAAAACUCUGAAAGAAAUGGAGAUUUAAGCAAUUAAAAACCAAUCAAACACCCCUAAGUUUAUCAUCAAAAAAAAGUAUUAAUCCCUGCAAAACUGUUUCCAACAAUUUUUUUUUUUUUUGCAUACAAUUGCACCAUGUAAUUCAGAAGAUUGGGGCUAAAAUGGCUUUCAAUCAAUUCACUUCUAAAACAUCCUUUUGGUACAAACACAAAUAAUCAACUUGGUGCUUAUUAAAGUUGCUACACAUCAUGCUUAAGAUGAAACUAGCCAACAUAGUCCAAACUAGAUCACCUAUAUAAACAUCAGAAGGCUAAAUAUAAAGUAUUACAAUUUGAUGACUCUAAAAUUAUCAAGACAUGAACAAAUUUAAUCAAUGGUACUUCAGUUGUCUCGUAUUCGAUAAAUAAUGUUUGUUUCUUUGGUUUAUGACUGCUCGCUCAAUACUCUUUGGCGGAAGUCGGUCACCAUCAACGGAAGCCCUUCUCUAAGAGAGAUCUUUGGUUCCCAAUUCAACAGCUGCUUGGCCUUGGUUAUGUCCGGUUUCCUCAUAUGAGGAUCAUCGGCAGUGUUGGGUCUAAACUCAAUGGUCGCACUUGGGUCAAUCGUCUCCUUUACAACCUGAAUAUAAGGAUACAAAUUGAUGUUGAUUGAGAAAUAGGGUAAUAAUGUACAGGUGUGUGAAAAUAGUCACUGGUUUUUUUUUCUGUUCUUCUUUUUUUUGGGCACGAACCUUGGCAAGUUCCAACAUGGUGAACUCUCCUGGAUUCCCCAAGUUAAAGGGUCCAAUGUGAUCACCUUCCAUUAGGGCCACCAGGCCAUCAACCUAACAAAUUAGCAUGGGAUAAAAAAAUUACUUUAAUUUUUCAACACAGAUUCGUAUUGUUAUCACUAGAAUAUGUAAUUUGAAGAAGAGGUUAAGCCGAUGAAAUACAGAAAUUUUGCAAGAAUAGAAACAUGAAGCAUCACUAAAAGCCAAUGGAAACAAAUGCUACAAGCACUUCUAUGGGCUCUGCAAAGCUCAUGUUCCAUUUUGAGUACUAACAGGAACUAAAAUGCCAUCGAAGGAAGGGGGAAAAAAAAGAACAGUUCCUUUCUACAUCAAAGAUGACAAAUUCGUCUGCAAGAAAUGAGCCUAUCAAAGAGAUAAACAGGAUAAGAACAAAUUGUUACCAAAUCAGAUACAUAUUGGAAACUUCGAGUCUGCUUUCCGUCACCAUAAACUGUCAUUGGUUGUCUACGAAGGGCCUGUAGAAUAUAUUUAACAUUAGAAUUAUCAUCAUUCUCAGCUUUUACCACAUUGAACUGCACAGUAUGAUGGAAGUUACACAAUCUUUAAAAAUAUCGCCAACCUGUGCAACAAAAUUGCUUACAACUCGUCCAUCAUCUAUGCACAUGCGAGGGCCAUAUGUAUUGAAUAUCCGUGCAAUUCGCACCUGAAAAAAAUGUAAUGAUUAGAAAAAUGUGAUGAUUAGAAAAAGGUGAUAACUAAUACUCAAGCAAAGAAGCCCUUUCUUUGUAUGUUAAGCUUGUACAUAAAGAGUUAGGAAGCUAUAUCAGUUAUAAUCAACUGCUGCAGUACCUUGAGGACAAAAGUUACAUCAUUAUGUGCAAGUUUUAUUUGUAAGUCAUUUCUAUGAACCAACGGCAAAUUUGAACAGAACCAUCUACAUUUUGAGAAAUCAGAGUAGUAGUGCCUGCAGAGGUUCCUAUUUAUUUUCUCAUUUAUUCUAGUUACAUUGGACACCCGUCGAUUUGAAUUUACUGCUUAAACCAGUGCACCCCAUCUCGAUUCUUACCUGAUUUGAGAUGCCAUUAACUAUUUUCAGACCCAAAGAAAUUCUGAAGAUUUUAAAUAGAAUUCACUGGAAAAUUGUAACAUUAUCUCCAGCGAAUAUGACUCCAUUCUCCAAUAAAAAGUAUACUAUUGUGUAGAUUAGCAAUAUUAUAGAUCUCCUUAGGGUUUGUUUGAAGCAAAGCCCAAAGGAUCUGGAUGAUUUCUGGUUUAUGGGAACUCCAUAGAAUACGAUUGAAGAUGUUAAGGCAGAAACAAAAAUAAACCAAAAAACCGCCCUCACUAAAAGAGUAUAUAUACUCUGAAUACCAAAAAUGUUAUAACUCAUAUAGUGUAUUGCAGUAAAAGGAAAACAAAGGAUUUGCAUUAGAAAACCCAAAUAUGAUUACCUCAACAUCAGCGCCACGAUGGUAAUCCAUGGUUAAUGUUUCAGCUGUCCUUUUGCCCUCGUCAUAACAGCUCCUAACACCUGUGCAGUGAGAAACAAAUCAAAACAAUGUUAAACAAGCAAUCAAAGAGCAAAACUUUCACGAAGAUAAGUGCCAAACAUGAUCUAUAAACCAAGUAUAAAUUCUUAUGUCGCUCACCUAUAGGAUUAACAUUCCCCCAAUACGUCUCCUUCUGCGGGUGCUCAAGCGGAUCCCCAUAAACCUCGCUGGUGCUCGUUAAUAAGAAGCGAGCACCAAUUCUCUUGGACAAUCCCAACAUAUUCAAUGUUCCCAUCACAUUUGUCUUGUACUCAAUAGUUAAGAACAAACGAGGCAAUUUUGGCACAAAUUUCCCACGUAUAUUAGACACCAGUUUGAACAAGAGGAAAGAUCUAUAAGCAACAUUAAGCAGAAAAUGAUUGCACAAAUCAUAUAAAGCUCAUCAAAGACGACAAAUUUAAGAAGACCAGUAUCUUAUAUAAACAAUCUGAAAUUGAAAUGCUAGUAGAUCAUAUAACGCUCGUCAAAGACCCCUAAAUCUCAAAUUACCCAAUUUCAUCCCGAUCCACCCAUAUCAACCGAGAAAGAGCCAUAAUUUGACCUAGUUAAAAAGCAAAAUCUAGUCCAUAAAACCGACAAAUCUUCACGAAUCACACCAAAACACCCAAAAAAGAGAAAAAAAAAAAAAAAUCUUUGAGCCGGAGAAAAGGAUAUGAUGGUUUUGAUGGGGUUGUGCUUGUAGUGGACGGGGGAGGCGGGGCAGGCGAGGUGGUAGAUCUGGUCGACCUCGAGCAGGAUCGGCUCGACGACGUCGUGGCGGAUGAGCUCGAACCUAGGGUUGCGGAGGUGGUGCGCGACGUUCUCCUUCCUCCCCGUGAAGAAGUUGUCGACGACGAUGACGCUGUCCCCGCGCGCGAUGAGCUUGUCGACGAGGUGGCUCCCCACGAACCCCGCCCCCCCCGUGACCACGAUCCGCAGCGGCGGCUUCCGCAGCCCCACCGGAACCCUACCCCCGCCUCCUCCUCCUCCUCCUCCGCCCCCGCCGGAGAUCGUGGAGAAGGGGCGGACGAGGAGGUGGGGGCGGCGGAGGGGUGGAGGAAGAAGAGGGUGGAGGCGACGAAGGCGCCGAUGAGGACGAAGAGGAGGCGUUGCUCGCGGAGGAUGUACGCCGCGGCGGAGCGGACGAGGGUCGGGGGCGCGCGCGACGACCCCUUCGCGCCCUUCGACGGGUGGGCCGGCAUCUCCGGGCCCCUUUUAUUGGGCCGCUCCAUAUCCAAUCCGAUCCGAUCCGAUCCGAUCCGAUCCGAUCGGAGCGCGAAUCUCAAGGCUGCUCCGGCGACGGUUGGGUGGUGGCGGCGUCGCCGGAGAGGCUUUGUAUAGAAGCGGUGGACGUGGUGGGUGGGGCACUGCACCGGGGUGAGAAAAAUUAGCGAGUCGAGGAGUUGAAAACCCGGGCUCAAAUAUUAUGGGUGGACCCGGUCCAUGGACCGAGCCCCAACUAGAACGUGCCACGUAAUUAUGCGCCAUGUGUAUCAUUUUGCUACUUUUUCGUAUGGAGGAAUGUUAUCUGUACUUCUCAAUAUAUAAAUUCCAUUAAUUCAAUAGGUAGAUGAAUAAUUUUAUAUGGUACACUUUAAAAUAAAAUUUAUAAAUAGUUUUUUUCUGCUGAAUAUUUUUCGUAGAAAAUGUAUAUUAUUGAACUAUAUUAAUUAUAGAAAAAAAUAUAGUAUUAAACUAUAGAAUGAUAAAGUGAGUCCGUGAUUUUAACUUUAUUAUUAUUUUUAUCUACGGUAUCUUUACGAAUUAUAAAUUUGUUAGGUAGUGUUGAAAUUUCUUCUCAAAUAUAAAAGUACGUGUUAUAAAAAUUUAUAUUCCAGUAGCUGUUCGGAUGAUAACAAGAUUAAAUAAUAAUACAGUUUUCCUAAUCCUCAAUACAUACAAGAUUGAUUUCAAUGUGUAGAAAUGUAUGCGCAGUGGAUCGCACAGAACAUGUUUUCUCUCUUCUUCGGUGUGUAUGGGAGGUGUUGGGGAUUUUGUUGGUCUAUGAUGGCACGGUAGAGACGGUUCAGGGAAAAAUGUCUAUGUGAUGUUAGUUUGGGACUAAUCAAAAUCACAUGGCAACAGGUUCAAAGUUGGUACAUAGUUGGGUGGAAUUAGGACCGAUUCCAAUAUUUGUAGCAACACGUCAUUCACAAUGUAGUACAAAGUGUACCAUAUAUUUAGUUUCGUUUGAGCAUGGCACUUUUUUUUUUUUUUUGGGUACAAACCAAUCCAAUAAUUCCAAUGUACUUUAAAAAAAAUCAUUCAAAAUCUUAUUAAAACAAAAAAUAAAUAAAUAAAUUCAACUGACCAUAAAAUUCUUAAGAAUCAUUAGUUAGCAAUCUCCUUAUCAUGUAUCGCGUCGUGCUUCGCCUUCUGCUCCAUCUCCGACCGCAAAUCUCCGACCGCCGCCGCCGCCGCCCUCUCGUCAAGCCAGGCGGUGAUGUCGGAGAAGACGAGCUCGGUGUUCUCCGGGGGUUCGCCCGACGUGAGCGCGUGCCACAUCCCGGGGUAGAGCUUGAAGGCCUUGUCACGGCUCGAGGCCGACUCGUGGAGUAGCUUGCUCACCGAUGGGUCGGUCACCGUGUCGUCGCCGCCGUGCACGAUCAAGAACGGCAAUGAGACCUGCACAUUCGUUUAAUUCACAUUCGCAUCUUUCAAAUUAGAACAUGUAACACAUGCAUUCUUUCUGUUGCAAAAAGAAAAAGUAAAAUAAUUAAUGUUUAAUUACCUGGUUAAGGUUCUUUUCAAUGUCCAAGCUAACCAUAAGAAGUUCAUGUCCCGUUUUCAAUCGGGGCUUUCCCUUGUAACAAUAUGGAUUCGAUCGAAUCUACCAAAAAGAGAAAAAAAAAAAAACAAAAAAUGUAAAAAAAAUGAUAGGAAAUGAUAUGGGUAAUGGCAAUUUAUGUUUAAAUUUUAAACUUGGAUAUUGCCAUAAAAUAUCUUUGGAAUUUUUGGCUUUUUUGAUUAUCAAACGCUUAAUUGGCUUCGAUUCCAAUAAAGAAGCUAUUAAAGAAGAAGGACCUUGACCCACCACCAAAUAAAAUUAUUUUGUUUACUUUUAUUUCAAAAGAGAUGAGAACCAGGGAUGAUCUUAAAUUUCGCAACCUUUUUCUAAUUCAACAAUAGUAGGAAAAAAAUUAUAAAUUCAUAUAUUUUUAAAAGAAUAUUUCUUACUACAGUAGCACUACUAUACUACUAUGAGUAUAGAAAUUCUCAUACUUAUAAGUCGUUUUUGAUAAUAGAAGUUUUGAAUUGAUGAUUCAUACUGUUAAAUAUGAUCUAAAGCAUUUGAAACCUUAGGUCGACUCGAAAUUGCUAGGGCUGUGAUACUUUUUGGAAUUUAAAAUAAUCCUAUAUAUAAGAUAUUAUUGGAUAAAUCUCUUAAUCCGGUAUAGCAUUUUGAGCCAUGAUUAGGUCGAAAAGGUAAGAGGACUAAAUGUGUUAGGAGCAUAGUAAUUUUAGGGUGAAUAACCCUCUGGAAAAUACCUAGAAAAUGAAUUUUAUCAUUUUUUGAAAUUAUAAUGAAAUUCACAGUAGGUAUAAAAUAGAAUGAUCAAAAUUGAGCAACUUCGUUCACGUUUUUCUAUUCAAAAUCUGAGUCAUUGAUCUUGAAUCUAGAUAGUUAAUACAAAUUUUUUAAUAAAAAAAUCAACUAAUUUUGAUCCUUCUGUACCGUUAAAUUAGAACUCGCACCAGACCGGCCAUUAAAAUUAUCAAUUUUGAGGUAUUUCGAUCAUAAGGUAUAUAAGGUCAAAAAAAAUAUGAAAUUUAGUUUUUUAAAAUGCUUAAAUACUCUAAAUUAUGUUUAACUGUACGGAUCAUUGAUUCAGAAGCUUUGUUAUCACAAAAACGAUUUAUGAAUAGAAAGAUGAUCGUACUUAUAUCGUACCGCAAAUAGAUCUUGGUGUAUAUAUUUACCUCCUUUCUUUUCUCUUCACUUUUGUAGGCCUUGUCAAUUACAUCUUGAGUGGGAACUAUCUUCCACUUUGGCACUAUGUUAGAGAGCUUCCUCAGAAUGUUGAUCAUUAUAGGAUUAGGUUUCAUCUCAUCAGCAAUCUGAAAAAUAAAAUUAAUAAUAAUGAGAAUAUAAUUAAACAAAGAAACCUCAUUAAUUAAUUGCCCCCACCAUUUAGUUAUCAUUUCCAAUUAAAAAAAUAGUUACUUGUCCCAAAUGACACAUCAAAGAUGCUUUUAUUAAAUUGAGACAGAUGCGCUACAGCCAUAGAGGAAAAAGUAAACAGCAAUCAGAAAUAUAUUUUUAUUAAGUUCUAGAAUAUGAAGAUGAAAGAGAUGGAGAGGAGAAAUUGUAGCCUACACCAUGUGCACCACAUCAGCUAUGCACUAUCUAAUCGGAUUCCGCGUUUUCAUCCAAUCUCAUAAGGGCGUAGAUUUUUUGCAACCUCGUUAGUUGACUUUACUAUCUGUCAAAGGUGCACUAUAUCGACCGCAAACUACACUAUAAGAGCCUUAUCGUCAACUCUUGUUUUUCUGAAAAAUCAACUUAUAAAUUUAGAAAAGACCAUAAUUCAGUAGGCGGUGCGGGAUUACAGUACAAGAGUUGACGAUAUAUAAGACUCUUAUAGGGUAGUUUGCGGUCGUUAUAGUGCACCGGGUGCAUGUAAGCAAAUAUUUCUAGAUAGAAGAGAUGGGGUGCAUGCUCAUGGUUGACCUUGCACAUGGGGGCGACUAGAAUAGCUCCACUCCAAUAGGUUGGCUCCUUCCUAUGUAGAAGAAGAGCCACUGCUCCCCCCAUUGAUUCCCCAAGAAGAAACCUCAGCUUCUUCUUGUUCUCAUGCUUCUCUGCAAUUUCAUUUUCAAAAUAUUACAUGACAUAUAAUAAGUUAAAAGCCUAGUUCAUCAAAAAGAUGUGUAGUUACUCACCACAAACACUCAUGAAAUAGGUUGAGCAAUCUCCAACAAGGUCAUCAAAGUUUGGUAUGUAGCCCUGUAACCCAGAAGAUUUUCCGUGGCCCUCGUAAUCCAUCCCGUAAACGGCGUAACCCGCUUUCGCCAAUCGAAUUCCGGUCUCUGAAUUAAUCAAAUAAAGUGAGUGCAUGCCAAAUGAUCAGUUUACAUUUAUUCAAAAAUAAAUGUCCAAUUAAUAGAAGUGAUUUAGUACACACACACACAUACCUCUCAUAGUUAUGCUGCACUCCACUGCAUAUCCUGAAAAAUUGUACCCAAACAUGAAAAGAAAUUAUUAAUUUCCAAAACUUAUAUACAUGUAUAUGUGAGAAAAAGUAAUGAGUGAGUUUAUGCAUACCAUGACAUAAAAAGAUCAGAGCUUUGGGAGGUGUAUUUUGGGGCAACCAUCUACAUGUGAACAACUUCAUGCCACGAGAGUUGGUGAUGUACUCCUACAUGCAAUCCCAUGCAUGCAAAUGUUACAAAAGGAUCUUACAUAGAAGAAGAAAAAAAAACAAAAGGACAAAUCUAGAGAGAGAAAGAGAGAUUUAACACAGGAAAAGGUUGAUAGAAGAAUCCUUGUUACCUCUUCAUAUCUUAUAUUCUCAUUACUUUUGGCCUGUAAAAUAUCAAAAAUACAAAUGAACUAUAUUAGGAAUCAAAUCAUAUAGCUAUAUAGAGAGAGAGAUGAUAUAUCCCCUUGAACAUACCAUGAUAAGAGUCAAAGGGAAGAGAGAGAGAGAGAGAGAGAGAGAGAGAGAGAGAGAGAGAGAGAGAGAGGGAGAGGGAGAGAGAUGACUUUGAAAUGGGGUUAUUAGAGAUGAUAAAAAGAAUAUAAGAUAAAAAAGGAGAGAUCCAAAUUUGUUAAGGACUCAGUAUAAGAAGGGGAAUAUAUAUGCAAAUAAAAAGAAAGUUAUGGUAUGGAAACAUUAGUGGAUACCUCACCUGUCAAGUGGAGAAAGUAUUUGCCAUGUGUCACCUUUUAAUUGGUUAAUUGUAAAAAUUAUUUGUUGCUUAAAAGAUUCUUUUUGGGGGGUUAAAAAUAAUAUAUCAUUUUGUGUAUUAUUAUAACUAGUAUAUACAAUACAAUGAAAAAUAAUAUAUAACUAAUAUACAAUAGUUGUGUAUUAUAAUAUACAUCAUUUUGAGAUUCGUGUGUAAGUCGAUCUUAUUAUGAUAUAUAUAGUUUUCCUUUUGUCUAUAAUCAACUAUCAUGUACAUGCACUUGAGAGUGGUUAUAGUAUUACUCGAAUAUAAAUACUAGAGCCUCUGAUUCAUACGUACGCUACACUUUAACUAGUAUAUAUAUAUGAUCUAGAAAUGAUGUAUUAGUUAGAUAAAUAAUUUACUCUUUUGUAGGAAAGAAAUCUUUGGCAUUCCUUUAUAUACGGCAUAAAGAGUGGAUCAUCAAAUUAAUGUGGGCGAUUAAAAUAUAAUAAUUUUAUGAGUGUUCAUCUCCCCUAGGUUAGAGAUGCGUGUAUUGUUUUGAUUAUUUUCUUAAUACGAAAUACUAACUAGCUUUUUAAGCCAACUAUUGUUAAUGAGAAAAAUUAAAACUUUAAAAAGUCUCCUGUGGUGCAACAUAUUCCAAUUUCCUAUCAAUUCAUAAUGUAACAUUUCAUAUUUGUGAGUUCCUUCAUGAAAUUGUGUAUGAACAUGAUUUUAUACUUAAAAUUACGAUACAAUAAUAAAGUAAUAAACUGUAAAAUUCCCAUAAAGGUUUUACUUAUCGAAAAUGUAUGAAAAUUGAUUUCUAAACACUUCAAGUGGUAUAAAUCAUGUUCAACGAUACCGAUCGUCGAUUUAGAGGCUCAAUCAUAAAAAAUAAAUGGAUAGCAACAGAGCCCAUUUGCUACGAAUAGUAUUCUAACUCAACUAUAUAUAUAUAUAUAUAUAUAUAUAUAUAUAUAUAUAUAUAUAUAUAUAUAGAGUUGACCUAGAAUACUAUCGGUAAUAAACGAGCCGUUUUACUACCGAUUUGUUUUCGAUGAUAGAGCUUCCAAAUUGACGAUCGGCUCCGUUAAAUAUGAUCUAAACCAUUUAAACUACCUAAAAAUCAAAUUUCACGUACUUUCGAUAUUGUUCUUUUAUCCAUCAAAUGAACAGAAAAAUGAAUGGCUGAAAAUGAAUACUCUUUAAAAAAUGAUGAUAGGAGUCUUGUAAUCAAGAUCAAGAGUAUAGAUCUUGUUUUAAAUAGUUUAAAGAAUUUUCUAACAAAAAUUCAAUUGAUUUGGAUAUCUUUACGCUGUUAAACGAGAAAACGCCUCUUAUCGACCAUUAAAAUUACAAAUUUUGAAACCCUUUGAUCAUUACGCAAAUGAUGUCGAAAAUAUUUGAAAUUUGAUUUCUAAACACUUCAAGUGGUAUAGAUCAUGUUCAACGGAGCCGAUCGUCAAUUUGGAAGUUCUAUCAUCGAAAACAAAUCGGUAGUAAAACGACUCGUUUACUGCUGAUAGUAUUCUAGCUCAACUUUAUAUAUAUAUAUAUAAUGUGAAAAAAUAAUAAAAUACUGAUAAAGUCCUCCUCAUUCUUAAAUUU
rnacentral:lncRNA from 1 species